rnacentral:tRNA from 1 species
GCCUGAGUGGUGAAAUUGGCAUACACGCUAGACUUAGGAUCUAGUGCCGAGAGGCGUAAGAGUUCGAGUCUCUUCUCAGGCACCA